rnacentral:rRNA from 1 species
UACGUAGGGGGCAAGCGUUGUCCGGAUUUAUUGGGCGUAAAGAGCGUGUAGGCGGCCAGGUAGGUCAGCUGUGAAAACUCGAGGCUCAACCUCGAGACGCCGGUUGAAACCAUCUGGCUAGAGUCCGGAAGAGGAGAGUGGAAUUCCUGGUGUAGCGGUGAAAUGCGUAGAUAUCGGGAGGAACACCUGUGGCGAAAGCGGCGCACUGGACCAUAACUGACGCUGAGGCGCGAAAGCUAGGGGAGCAAACAGG